rnacentral:rRNA from 1 species
ACCGCCAGGGAAUUACAAAACCCUUAAAACCCAAAGGACUUGACGGUGUCCCACCCAUCUAGAGGAGCCUGUUCUAUCAUCGAUACUCCACGAUUCACCUCACCGCUCCUAGCUCACUCAGUCUGUAUACCUCCGUCGUAAGCCCACCAUGUGAACGUCACAGCGGACUAAAAGAUCUCCACCCACCCACACGUCAGGUCAAGGUGCAACUAACGAAGCGGAAAGCAAUGGGCUACAAUUUCUACCAUAGAACACACGAAUAAACAAGUGAAAUGCAGUCAUAAAGGCGGAUUUAGAAGUAAAAAGAAGUCAGAAAACUCUUUUUAAUUCGGCCCUGGGACGCGUACACACCGCCCGUCACCCUCCUCAACCCACAGUAGAGGAGGUAAGUCGUAACAUGGUAAGUGUACUGGAAAGUGCACUUGGACAAUCAAAAUGUAGCUUAAUUAAAGCACCCUGCUUACACCAAGACAGAUGUUAAUAAACCUUAACCAUUUUGUGCCCAAAUCUCAGCCCCCCC